GGGGAUAUAGUAUAAUGGCAGUACAUUGUGUUUGCAUCACAGCAAUAGUGGUUCGAUUCCACUUAUCUCCA
rnacentral:tRNA from 1 species